UACGAAGGGGGCUAGCGUUGCUCGGAAUCACUGGGCGUAAAGCGCACGUAGGCGGGUCUUUAAGUCAGGGGUGAAUCCUGGAGCUCAACUCCAGAACUGCCUUUGAUACUGAGGGAUCUUGAGUUCGGGAGAGGUGAGUGGAACUGCGAGUGUAGAGGUGAAAUUCGUAGAUAUUCGCAAGAACACCAGUGGCGAAGGCGGCUCACUGGCCCGAUACUGACGCUGAGGCACGAAAGCGUGGGGAGCAACAGGG
rnacentral:rRNA from 1 species